rnacentral:rRNA from 1 species
AGUGACUGUGGAUUGUCCCUGGGUGUCCGAGAAGUGUUAAACGUGUGAGUAGCACUGUGAGCAACCUGCCCUUGACUCUGGGAUAAUCGUUGGAAACGACGUCUAAUACCGGAUACGAGCCUUGGAGGCAUCUCUGGGGGUGGAAAGAAUUUUGGUCAUGGAUGAGCUCGCGGCCUAUCAGCUAGUUGGUGAGGUAAUGGCUCACCAAGGCGACGACGGGUAGCCGGCCUGAGAGGGUGACCGGCCACACUGGGACUGAGACACGGCCCAGACUCCUACGGGAGGCAGCAGUGGGGAAUAUUGCACAAUGGGCGAAAGCCUGAUGCAGCAACGCCGCGUGAGGGACGACGGCCUUCGGGUUGUAAACCUCUUUUAGUAGGGAAGAAGCGAAAGUGACGGUACCUGCAAAAAAAGCACCGGCUAACUACCUGCCAGCACCCGCGGUAAUACUUAGGGUGCAAGCGUUGUCCGGAAUUAUUGGGCGUAAAGAGCUCGUACGCGGUUUGUCGCGUCUGCUGUGAAAAUCCUAGGCUCACCCUCGGGCCUGCAGGGGUACGGGCAGACUAUAGUGCGGUAGGGGAAAUUGGAAUUCCUGGUGUAGCGGUGUAAUGCGCAUAUAUCAAGAAGAACACCGAUGGCGAAUGCAGAUCUCUGCGCCGUAAUCUGACGCUGAGGAGCGAAAGCAUGGGGAGCUAACAGGAUUAAAAUACCCUGGUAGUCCAUGCCGUAAACGUUGGGGAACUUGAUGUGAGGACUAUUCCACGGUCUCCGUGUCCCUUCUA